rnacentral:tRNA from 1 species
GUUUUAAUAGUUUAAACAAAAUAUUGGUCUUGUAAAUCAAAAAUAAUAGAUUAACUAUUUUAAAACU